rnacentral:rRNA from 1 species
GAUGACGUCAAGUCCGCAUGGCCCUUAUGGGCUGGGCCACACACGUGCUACAAUGGCAAUGACAAUGGGAAG